rnacentral:rRNA from 1 species
CGUAGGGGGCAAGCGUUAUCCGGAUUUAUUGGGUGUAAAGGGUGCGUAGGCGGGUGUCUAAGUUGAAUGUGAAAUCCACCGGCUCAACUGGUGGGCUGCGUUCAAAAACUGGACAUCUUGAGUAUGGUAGAGGCAAGUGGAAUUCCCAGUGUAGCGGUAAAAUGCGUAGAGAUUGGGAGGAACACCAGUGGCGAAGGCGACUUGCUGGGCCAAAACUGACGCUGAGGCACGAAAGUGUGGGGAGCAAACAGGAUUAGAUACCCUGGUAGUCCACACCGUAAACGAUGAUUACUAGGUGUAGGGGGACUGACCCCUUCUGUGCCGGAGUUAACACAAUAAGUAAUCCACCUGAGUAGUACGGUCGCAAGAUUG